UACGGAGGGGGCUAGCGUUGUUCGGAAUUACUGGGCGUAAAGGGCGCGUAGGCGGCCAUCUAAGUCAGACGUGAAAUCCCCCGGCUUAACCUGGGAACUGCGUCUGAUACUGGACGGCUUGAGUAUGGGAGAGGGAUGUAGAAUUCCAGGUGUAGCGGUGAAAUGCGUAGAUAUCUGGAGGAAUACCGGUGGCGAAGGCGGCAUCCUGGACCAUUACUGACGCUGAGACGCGAAAGCGUGGGGAGCAAACAGG
rnacentral:rRNA from 1 species